rnacentral:rRNA from 1 species
GACGAACGCUGGCGGCGUGCUUAACACAUGCAAGUCGAGCGGUAAGGCCUCUUCGGGGGUACCCGAGCGGCGAACGGGUGAGUAACACGUGGGUGACCUGCCCUUCACUCUGGGAUAAACCUGGGAAACUGGGUCUAAUACUGGAUAUUCACUGUCUAUCGCAUGGUGGGUGGUGGAAAGUUAUUCGGUGGGGGAUGGGCCCGCGGCCUGUCAGCUUGUUGGUGGGGUGAUGGCCUACCAAGGCGACGACGGGUAGCCGGCCUGAGAGGGCGACCGGCCACACUGGGACUGAGACACGGCCCAGACUCCUACGGGAGGCAGCAGUGGGGAAUAUUGCGCAAUGGGCGGAAGCCUGACGCAGCGACGCCGCGUGGGGGAUGACGGCCUUCGGGUUGUAAACCUCUUUCGACCGGGACGAAGCUUUUGUGACGGUACUGGUAGAAGAAGCACCGGCCAACUACGUGCCAGCAGCCGCCGUAAAA